rnacentral:rRNA from 1 species
CCUACGUGAGGCAGCAGUGAGGAAUAUUGGUCAAUGGGCGCGAGCCUGAACCAGCCAAGUCGCGUGAGGGAAGACGGUCCUAUGGAUUGUAAACCUCUUUUGUCGGGGAGCAAAAGACGCCACGCGUGGCGUUCCGAGAGUACCCGAAGAAAAAGCAUCGGCUAACUCCGUGCCAGCAGCCGCGGUACUACGGAGGAUGCGAGAGUUAUCCGGAGUUAUUGGGUUUAAAGGGUGCGCAGGCGGAAGAUCAAGUCAGCGGUAAAAUUGAGAGGCUCAACCUCUUCGAGCCGUUGAAACUGGUGUUCUUGAGUGAGUGAGAAGGAUGCGGAAUGCGUGGUGUAGCGGUGAAGUGCAUAGAGAUCACGCAGAACUCCGAUUGCGAAGGCAGCAUACCGGCGCUCAACUGACGCUCAUGCACGAAAGUGUGGGUAUCGAACAGGAUUAGAUACCCGAGUAGUC